rnacentral:rRNA from 1 species
CCCUUAGAUGUCCUGGGCCGCACGCGCGCUACACUGAGUGUCUGAGAUACGAGUCUGCCUGGUCCGGCAAGGUCUAGGUAAUCGCUAAAAGACACAUCAUGCUUGGGAUAGAUUAUUGCAAAUAUUAAUCUUGAACGAGGAAUUCCUAGUAAGCGCAAGUCAACAGCUUGCGUUGAUUACGUCCCUGCCCUUUGUACACACCGCCCGUCGCUACUACUGAUUGGAUGUUUAAGCGAGGUUCUCGAACUGCUAGCGACUUAGCUUCGGUGAGGUCGCAGUGUGGGAAGAGAACCUAGCUUUGGUGUCUAGAGGAAGUAAAAGUCGUAACA